ensembl:lncRNA
CCCCUGGCGGGCAGGGGCCGAGGUGCAGCCUGCUGGGCUGCUCGGGCCUCGCUCCCUCAGGGACUUGCGGUGGCACUUUCUGACAUCCCGCCGUGAGGGACAGAGACCACAAUACCCAGCCCCUGAGCAGAAGCUCGUGUCCCACACAGAGCCGUCAGUGCCUGGACGACACGGGGGAGACGACCGCUCAGGACGGUGUAGACGGGACGCUGGGCUCCGCCAUGGGUCUUCACUCCGGAGCAGACGGCAUCUCGUCGGUCGCACAGAGUCACGAUCGUGGUGGCAGAAGUCGUGAGGAACCGUCCCGAGACCUCUCGGUUCCCCGUCCCCUCAUCUUCAUCCCUGCCUGUCACUCGGGGGAUGGAGCCAGCGCAGAGCAGCAAAGACAAGGAAAGGAAAGGCAGAGCAGCCGCUUGUCCCGAGUGCCGAGGACCUGCUGACGAGGCUUGCCGGCCAGUAGGGACCAGCAUUGCCCAGGGCGUGGGGAGGGCCUGGACGGGCCCGAGUGGCCGGCAUGCCGGGGACGCUAGCCUGCGUGUGGGAGUGGAGGGGUGCCUGAUUGUGGCUGAGGCCGGUGGGGCCAGGUCAGCUGCCGCAGGGAAAGCACCCCAGGCCGGAAGGGGCCGCGGGGGUGCAGGGUGCAGGGGGAGGCAGCAGUGCCGAGGGGCCGUCCCUCUCGCCCAGUGGGAAGGGGAGCCACCCAGGGCGAGGGCGGUGGGAGCCCCUGGGGGCUCGUCUCCAAGCCCCCCCAGGCGAGGAUACCUCAAACCCCUAAGUGAACCCUGACGGGACCUGCGAUGGGACAACUUCCCCUUUCCACACGGACGACUCCCGCCACAGAAGGAAGUCACAUUUUCACUGUCCCUGCAUCGUGCGAAGUCACACACAUGGGUCUUAAGUUUCUGCGAGACACAGCACUCAGUCCUGUCCUCAUCCACCCAGGGAGCCACCGCCAGGCCAGCCGCCAGCGUGCAGCUCUGCCGCCGCGGUCCCAGCACUCGGCAGCCUUCUAUGAACCCGCGUGCACAUGGCUGUCUGCUGGACCGGCCUCCCUUGUAGGCCACUGCCCGCUGACCGUCCCCUCCUCGCGUCCCGCCCCUCCCCCUGCCUGGAACCACAGGUAGAAGGCUCGCCUGGAGGGACAGCCCUAAGCAUUUGGGCACACACCCUGGAGCCUUGACUCUCCUCUGACCUUGCCCGCGACGCCAGGAGGUCCUGUCACACCUGAUGCCUCCCUGGAGCCUGCCUUCCCCGGCCACAGCCUCGUCCUGCGACCUCACCUCCGAGAUCCAGCCAGCCCCAUCCCUCUCGCUCCUCACCAACCGCCCCGCAGCCUCCGCCUCCACCAUCCACACAGAGGCGGGGCUUCCUGUGGCUCCCCCAUGUGGGGCCUGCCCCCUCCCGCCCGCGGGGCAUCCCUGCCUCAGGGCCUCUGCACCUGCUCCUGGCCCUGGAAGGGCCCCUCCGCUCCCUGACUGACCCUCACGCUCCUCCCCUCUCAGUGCAGCCAGGCCAUCUGGCCACAGCUCCCCGGACACUCGCAUGGAGUCCUAGUUGACACCGUCUCCUGGAGAGUGGAU